UACAGAGGUCUCAAGCGUUGUUCGGAUUCAUUGGGCGUAAAGGGUGUGUAGGUGGCGCCGUAAGUCGGGUGUGAAAUUUCGGAGCUUAACUCCGAAACUGCAUUCGAUACUGCGGUGCUUGAGGACUGGAGAGGAGACUGGAAUUCACGGUGUAGCAGUGAAAUGCGUAGAUAUCGUGAGGAAGACCAGUGGCGAAGGCGGGUCUCUGGACAGUUCCUGAUACUGAGGCACGAAGGCCAGGGGAGCAAACGGG
rnacentral:rRNA from 1 species